rnacentral:rRNA from 1 species
UUGGAGGGCAAGUCUGGUGCCAGCAGCCGCGGUAAUUCCAGCUCCAAUAGCGUAUAUUAAAGUUGUUGCAGUUAAAAAGCUCGUAGUUGAAUUUCGGGAUCAAUUUAUUGGUCGUGCCAACGGUACGCACUGGUACAAUUGGUUUCUCCCUUCUGACGAAGCAUGAUGUCAUUAAUUUGAUGUCGUGGGGAAUCAGGACUGUUACUUUGAAAAAAUUAGAGUGUUUAAAGCAGGCUUUGGCUUGAAUACAUUAGCAUGGAAUAAUGAAAUAGGACGUUUGAUCUUAUUUCGUUGGUUUCUAAGAUCGACGUAAUGAUUAAUAGGGAUAGUUGGGGGCAUUAGUAUUCAAUUGUCAGAGGUGAAAUUCUUGGAUUUAUUGAAGACUAACUAUUGCGAAAGCAUUUGCCAAGGAUGUUUUCAUUAAUCAAGAACGAAAGUUAGGGGAUCGAAGACGAUCAGAUACCGUCGUAGUCUUAACCAUAAACUAUGCCGACUAGGGAUCGGAUGAUGUUAAUUUUUUAAUGACUCAUUCGGCGCCUUACGGGAAAC